rnacentral:rRNA from 1 species
UACGUAGGGGGCAAGCGUUAUCCGGAUUCAUUGGGCGUAAAGCGCGCGUAGGCGGUUUGUUAGGUCAGGAGUUAAAUCUGGGGGCUCAACCCCUAUCCGCUCCUGAUACCGGCAGGCUUGAGUCUGGUAGGGGAAGGCGGAAUUCCAAGUGUAGCGGUGAAAUGCGCAGAUAUUUGGAAGAACACCGGUGGCGAAGGCGGCCUUCUGGGCCACGACUGACGCUGAGGCGCGAAAGCUAGGGGAGCGAACAGG